UAUUAUAGAAAACUAAAAGAAACAAAGGUUUCAAUAAAAUUUUCAAAAAAAGGUUUAAAACUAAUUUUGCUUUGUUUUUACGGGUUUGUGGUUGACGAGUGGCGACCGUGGACUUAUUUUUUAAACUUGGUGAAUCUCUCUUAUUUAAAUAGAAACAUUGUUUGGAAUAAAUUUUACUCCAUCCAAGCAUAUCUGUUAACCUCCAUCACCUUAGGUUAUUCAUAUGCUAAUAAUGAAAGAUAAUUUACAUUUACUGAUUCAGCCUCUUUUUGUGCUGUUGGUGAUGCUGUGAUCAUGCAGUUUGUGAAUGGAACUGGGAAACACGUAGGAAUCAGAGUGGACUACUUAACUGCUGCCUGGUUAAACACCCUAUUUGCUUUGGUUAUCCGAAUAUGAAAGACUGGGAGAGAAGUAAUCAGUUCAUUGUCCAAGCUUAUAUAAAAGUUCUUGACUACAUCGAUCUUGAGGCAUCAUCAUGUCCACUGUCUCAAGUUUGAGCAAGCACUGAGUUCUAUGAAGCACCCAAGAGGUAUCAAUGUUUGAUAACCGCAACAAUUUUUUUUUGGUUUUCAUUUUCUUUUCCUUCUGAUAUUAUUUCAUCACUGAUAUAGGAAAGCUGCUUUAUUCUAUGAUACCAUCAUCUAUACGUACAUAAACUAUGGUUGAUGUAGAUAAGUAUUUGGAAUAUUCUACAUCAAUGGUGAAGAAUAAAGGAUUUAGCUUGGAUUCGUGUGUUUGUGACUCAUUAUUUAUUCAAAGCGCAAACCUACUCAAGUGUUUGAUCCUAAUACAAAUGACCUAGGAUAGGUUACUACUUCCGAUAGACAGAUCUGAUAAAGUGACCUGCACAAAGCUACAAUCAUUCAUAGAAGAACUCAAGCAGCUUAUCUACUUCACCACUCAUAUGGUGAUUGUGGUCAUUACCAAGUUAACCUUUCAGAUCGUCUCAACGGGUGAUGGUGGAUCAUCUUGGAGACCUCGCUGUCACCAGCGCCUCUCUCGCCUCCUCCUCCUGCAAUAUCAUUGGCUUCAGUUUUAUUGUAAAAGAUCUUUAUCUUUCCUUUUAUCCAAGUUGAUACAUGUAUCUAUAUUUCUUAUAGUUACAAGAACCUUGGAAACUGCACCUCCACAUCACUUGAUUUAUUUUAAAUGUAUACAAGCGGCU